rnacentral:rRNA from 1 species
AUACAUAUAGUUAGGAGAGGAAAAGAAAUUAACUAAGAUUUCCUGAGUAGCGGCGAGCGAAAUGGAAAAAGCCCAAUGCUAAGUCCUCUUUCUUUUAACAAGUUAGUUGGAAAUGCAGUGUAAAAGAAAGUUUAUUAUCUUAUAUAUUAUGGUAGCAUGUUCAAGUCCAUUUUGAAUGGGGCCAUUUACCCACAGAGGGUGCCAGGCCCGUAGCAACUGUUAUCGUAUAUAAGAAAGCUUUUCUUUAGAGUCGUGUUGCUUGAUAGUGCAGCACUAAGAGGGUGGUAAACUCCAUCUAAGGCUAAAUAUAACCAUGAGACCGAUAGCGAACAAGUACCGUGAGGGAAAGUUGAAAAGAACUCUGAAUAGAGAGUUAAAAAGUACGUGAAACCGCUUAGGGGUUAAGCCCGAUGAACCUGAAUAUCUAAAUGAAGAAAUUCAAUGCUAUCUAAUGUUGAAUAAUAUUCAGCAGAGGUUGGUAUGCACUUUUCUUCUAGUAAGAAGUUGCAAUCUAUUUAAUAUAUGUCAUUUACGCGAUAGAUGACAAUUUACCAAUGGGUCAAGGGGGUGCUCUAUUCUCGUUCCUCCUAUAUGGUCUCGUAUCAUAUAGUGAAUGUUUUGUAAUAGAUCCCAUUGAAUUUCCUGGUAAAUGUUGAUAGAUAUUAAUAAUCAUGCCAACACCCUGUGUGUGACGCUUAUGCGCAACGGCUUUUAGAAAUAAAAACGCAGUUUGAGCAUAUGAUUUGAUUUGCAACGACAUAGAUUUAGGAUACCUUCGGGACCCGUCUUGAAACACGGACCAAGAAGUCUAGUAUGUGUAUAAGUCACUGGGUGCUUAAAACCUAAAGGCAAAAUUAACGUAACUGUUACAUUGGAUUACACGUUUUCUAUAAGUAAAGCGUUUCCAUCCACGGGCGUUUUUAUCAACUCAUUAACUUGUUAAUGAGUAAAAGCGUACCUUGAAUAUACAUACUGUGACCCGAAAGAUGGUGAACUAUACAUGACCAGGUCGAAGUCAGGGGAAACCCUGAUGGAGGAUCGUAGCAGUUCUGACGUGCAAAUCGAUUGUCAGAGUUAUGUUUAGGGGCGAAAGACCAAUCGAACCAUCUAGUAGCUGGUUCCCUCCGAAGUUUCCCUCAGGAUAGCUGGUGCAUAUAUAAAUUUGAAUAAAUAGUCUUAUCUGGUAAAGCGAAUGAUUAGAGGAAUUGGGGCCGAAACGACCUCAACCUAUUCUCAAACUUUAAAUGGGUAAGAUCCUCGACUUUCUUGAUUGAAGUCAUAAGAGGUUCUUUUAAAUGAUAUAUUGUGCCCAGUGGGCCACUUUUGGUAAGCAGAACUGGCGCUGUGGGAUGAACCAAACGUUAUGUUACGGCGCCUAAAUUAACGACUCAUACAGAUACCAUGAAAGGUGUUGCUUGCUUAAGACAGCAGGACGAUGGACAUGGAAGUUGUAAUCCGCUAAGGAGUGUGUAACAACUCACCUGCCGAAGCAACUAGCCCUUAAAAUGGAUGGCGCUCAAGUCGUAUGCCUAUACAUAACCGCUAAAGUAAUAUUAAUAAUAUAUUAAUAAUAAAAUUUUAGCGAGUAGGAGGGUACAAUGAUGUGCGUUGAAGAAUUUGGCGUGAGCCUAUUUGGAGCCGUCAUUGGCACAGAUCUUGGUGGUAGUAGCAAAUAAUCGAAUGAGAUCUUGGAGGACUGAUGUGGAGAAGGGUUUCGUGUGAACAGUGUUUGAUCACGAGUUAGUCGGUCCUAAGCUCUAGGCAAAAGCCGUUAUAAACCAGAAUCAAUAAUUUUUAUUAUUCUUAAUUGAGAGCGAAAGGGAAUACGGUUCCAAUUCCGUAACCUGUUGAGUAUACGAUAUAAAGAUUGGAUAUUAACAUAUAAUGAUGAAUAUUCAUCCUGGCAACGGGAGCGAUCGUAGAGACGCCGUCGGGAAAUAUCGGAAGAGUUUUCUUUUCUGUUUUAUAGACACAUUGCCAUGGAAGUCUUUCGAAGAGAGAUAUGGUAAACAGUUUAGAAGAGCAUGACAUUUACUGUUGUGUCGAUAUUUUCCCCACGGACCUUGAAAAUCUACGGUAGGGCUACGUACAUUCUCAACAGACCGUACCGAUAUCCGCAGCUGGUCUCCAAGAUGAAGAGUCUCUAGUCGAUAGACUAAUGUAGGUAAGGGAAGUCGGCAAAUUAGAUCCGUAACUUCGGGAUAAGGAUUGGCUCUGAAGACUGAGAUGGCUCGGGCUUGAUUGGGAUGCAACAAUUAGACUGAUAGUAUUUUGUCGUCUGAGUAAAUAAGAUCAUCUUUUUACACUUUUAGUGUUGGGAGUGUGUUCUGUUCCUCGGAAAAGAUUAAAUACGCCUAGUCGCCGUCGCGGAACUUUCUUGCUAUUAAAAUAGAAUGAAUAUGCAAAUAUUUAUUCUAAAACGACCAUCAUUUAACAAUUGAUUCAGAACUGGCACGGACCGGGAGAAUCCGACUGUCUAAUUAAAACAAAGCAUUGUGAU